AGUAGAAUUGCUGGGUCAUAUGGUAAUCCUAUGUUUAACUUUUUGAGGAACUGUCAAACUGUUUUCCACAGUGGCUGUACCAUUUUACAUUUCAACCAGCAAU
rnacentral:pre_miRNA from 1 species